rnacentral:snRNA from 1 species
GGAUGUGAGGGCGAUCUGGCUGCGACGUCUGUCACCCCAUUGAUCGCCAGGUUUGAUGCGCUGAUCUGGCUGGCUAGGCGGGUGUCCCCUUCCUCCUACCGCUCCGUGUGUGUCCCUCCCGAAGCUGUGCGCUCGGUCGAAGAGGACGACCUUCCCCGGUAGAGGAGGACCGUUCUUCGGUCGAGGGUAUACGAGCAGCUGCACUCCCCUGCUAGAACCUCCAAACAAGCUCUCAAGAAAGGUCAUUACCUGCGGCGCUUGGGUGGCUCAGUCGCUUAAGUGUCCGACUCUUGGUUUCGGCUCAGGUCAGAAUCCCA